rnacentral:rRNA from 1 species
GAUAAACGCUGGCGGCGUGCCUAAUACAUGCAAGUCGAGCGAAUGGAUUAAGAGCUUGCUCUUAUGAAGUUAGCGGCGGACGGGUGAGUAACACGUGGGUAACCUGCCCAUAAGACUGGGAUAACUCCGGGAAACCGGGGCUAAUACCGGAUAACAUUUUGAACCGCAUGGUUCGAAAUUAAAAGGCGGCUUCGGCUGUCACUUAUGGAUGGACCCGCGUCGCAUUAGCUAGUUGGUGAGGUAACGGCUCACCAAGGCAACGAUGCGUAGCCGACCUGAGAGGGUGAUCGGCCACACUGGGACUGAGACACGGCCCAGACUCCUACGGGAGGCAGCAGUAGGGAAUCUUCCGCAAUGGACGAAAGUCUGACGGAGCAACGCCGCGUGAGUGAUGAAGGCUUUCGGGUCGUAAAACUCUGUUGUCAGGGAAGAACAAGUGCUAGUUGAAUAAGCUGGCACCUUGACGGUACCUAACCAGAAAGCCACGGCUAACUACGUGCCAGCCGCCGCCGUAA